AAGAUCAUACUUCACAGGAUCAUUUCUGUAGUAUAUCUUGACUUGUUUCCCACCAGAAACAUUUCUCCAAUCAACCCGCGAUGACGAGUAAUGACGCUGGCUUCUGAGAGUGAAACAGGUUGGGAUCGUAGCCACUUGCGUGGUAUCUGCUCGUAGCCAUUGAGGACCGUUUCCGGUGUUCCCUUGUGGCACACUGGAAGGAAACCGGCGUUUUCAGAGCGGU
rnacentral:snoRNA from 1 species